rnacentral:lncRNA from 1 species
UGGAGCCAGAGAUUGCCACGGAGUGAAUUGGCGGAGAUUGAGUACUGCGCGUGUGCAGUACUGGCUCCUCCUAGUCUUGCUUUCCUCCUUCUCUUCUGGUUUAGAGAUCUGUCAACCAAUCCAUCGUUUAGACACCUUUCUUGAGGCCAUUGUAUCGAGAGCUGCGGCCUAAACUGAUGGGGUGGGAAUGCUACUCUCUGCCUUCGAGAAGUUUACAUUUUCCAACUGAGAUACCGAGUGCUAUAGUAGAUCUAUUACUGGAAGGAACUUAAGAGACUCUUAUCUAGCCCUCCCAUUUUACAGAUAAAGAAACUGAAGUGGAGGGAGUUAAGGGCAUUGGCCAGAGGGCACACUGGUCGUGUCAGAAGCUUCCCCUGCAUCUCUCCAUUACCAUAUAUAUUGACGCACAUAUUCAAAUUACCUAGAUAAAAUAUACGACCCUUGAAAUAAAAUAUUUUUAUCUUAUUUUUGUUCCUAUAUUCCCAGCACCUGCCAGAGUGCUUGCCAAAUAAUAGAUAUGAAAUAAAUGUUGAUUCAUUGACUGGUUAGUCCUCAGGGAUAGAUAAUUUUAAAGUUUUUUUUUUUUUUCAGGAUGAAGGACAGCAUGACUAGGAAAGGCUUUUUGAAAAGGGAGUAUUGGGGUUAAACCUGGAAAGGAGCUAGGUUAAAAGAGUGGGAAUCUCACCUGCAGAAAGUCACAGAGGUGAGAAAUAGAAUGUUAGGGAACACCAAAUAGACCACAUUUGUCUAAAGUUUAAGAGUACUUGAGAGGGGAUUAAUAUAUAAUCAGAGUGGAAAGGAGCUCUGGAGACAUACUGGAAGGACUUCAAAUAUCAAAGCAAACUGGUUCUGCAAUGUCUUUACCCUAGUCUAUGUCUUCAUGCCUGGGCCAUUGCAACAGUUCUGCUGAUUGCCCCUCCUCUGGUCACUCCUUCCCUCUUUCCUCAAUCCCUAGGAAGAAUGGAAGGGAAGAGAAGGGAAGAGAAAGGAAAGGAAGAGAAAGGAAGGGGUAAGGUGACAAGGACAUGGACUAAGGUCUCAGAACAGAAUCAAAGAGAUUUGAACAGAAGCUACACAGGCUUAAAACAGCAAGUUAGAUGUCAUAAAAUGCCCUGUUGAAAGAGACAUUUUAUAAAGUAGAUCAAAGCAUUGGAACUGCUGUCAGACACAAGAAAGAGUCA